CAACAGCCUACCACGAGCGUCCGAGCGG
rnacentral:sRNA from 1 species